GUCAAGGUCGUCCAAUGGAAGGAUAGGCAUCUUUUGCAAAAUCAUAUUUUAAUGAUAUUGGAAAUUAAGCCAGAUUGGGGUUCAAUUCCCUGCCUUGACG